GAGCUUGAAGGUUUAUCGUAUGAUUUUAAUCUACAUGGGAACAGAAAGGAGCUCCAAAUAUUGAAUCACAGAAGAAACAGCUAUAGAAGCUUGAGCGAAUGGAAGCUCAGAAAGAAGAUGAUCAGAGGGAAGCCGAACUGGAUGCUCAUUAUUAAUGAGUUCAUCAAUGUAUAUUGAAAGGGAUGUGUCGUACUGUGUUGACUAAGCUAUGCUCCCUACCAAUUAAUUGCAAGUAUUUGGUGAUGAGUCGCUUACCAUGAUCUACAUCCUCUCUUUUUCAUGGUUGCUUCUUCUGGAAUAGAGAUUUUAAUUCAUGCCUAUGCCCUGUUUUUCUUAGUUGAAGAGGAAAAAUUGGUGAUCAAGUUUGUACCCCUGUGAUUGCAAAUUAUUUCUUAUGGUUUGAGGACCAUGUUUACAAAAUUUUCAAAGGACUGUGUAUAGUUACGAUUAUUCUAAAUCUAGUUUAUGUGUUCUGUAG